rnacentral:rRNA from 1 species
CUACGGGUGGCUCCAGUGGGGAAUAUUGCACAAUGGACGAAAGUCUGAUGCAGCAACGCCGCGUGGAGGAUGACACAUUUCGGUGCGUAAACUCCUUUUAUAUAAGAAGAUAAUGACGGUAUUAUAUGAAUAAGCACCGGCUAACUCCGUGCCAGCAGCCGCGGUAAUACGGGGGGUGCAAGCGUUACUCGGAAUCACUGGGCGUAAAGCGCAUGUAGGCGGACUUGUAAGUUGGAAGUGAAAUCCUAUGGCUCAACCAUAGAACUGCUUCCAAAACUGCUUGUCUAGAAUAUGGGAGAGGUAGAUGGAAUUUCUGGUGUAGGGGUAAAAUCCGUAGAGAUCAGAAGGAAUACCGAUUGCGAAGGCGAUCUACUGGAACAUUAUUGACGCUCAGAUGCGAAAGCGUGGGGAGCAAACAGGAUUAGAUACCGGGUAGUC